AUUGAACGCUAGCGGGAUGCUUAACACAUGCAAGUCGAACGGAGUAGCGGACGUGUGAGUAAUAUAGCGAAACAUGCCCGGUAGAGGGGGAUCACUACUCGGAAGAGUAGCUGAUAACGCAUACUAUUGGAGCGGCCAGUAUGGGAUUAGCUAGUUGGUGGGGUAAAGGCUCACCAAGGCAACGAUCCAUAGCUGGUUUGAGAGGACGACCAGCCACAUUGGGACUGAGACACGGCCCAGACUCCUACGGUAGGCAGCAGUGGGGAAUGUUGGACAAUGGGCGAAACCCUGAUCCAGCCAUCCCGCGUGUAUGAUGAAGGCCUUCGGGUCGUAAAGUACUUUUGGCAGAGAAGCGGUAUCUGCAGAAUAAGCAACGGCUAACUACGUGCCAGCAGCCGCGGUAAUUC
rnacentral:rRNA from 1 species